rnacentral:rRNA from 1 species
GAUGAACGCUGACAGAAUGCUUAACACAUGCAAGUCAACUUGAAUUUGGGUUUUUAACUUCGGUUUGGGUGGCGGACGGGUGAGUAACGCGUAAAGAACUUGCCUCACAGCUAGGGACAACAUUUGGAAACGAAUGCUAAUACCUAAUAUUAUGAUAAUAGGGCAUCCUAUAAUUAUGAAAGCUAUAAGCGCUGUGAGAGAGCUUUGCGUCCCAUUAGCUAGUUGGAGAGGUAACGGCUCACCAAGGCGAUGAUGGGUAGCCGGCCUGAGAGGGUGAUCGGCCACAAGGGGACUGAGACACGGCCCAUACUCCUACGGGAGGCAGCAGUGGGGAAUAUUGGACAAUGGACCAAGAGUCUGAUCCAGCAAUUCUGUGUGCACGAUGAAGUUUUUCGGAAUGUAAAGUGCUUUCAGUUGGGAAGAAAGAAAUGACGGUACCAACAGAAGAAGUGACGGCUAAAUACGUG